UCCAACCAGUGCAGCUUUACCAACAGGCUCCCCCCUCCCUCCCUUUGGGGUUUCUGUCCUCUGCAGUGAUACUUGCAUGACAGUGGAGCUUCCUGGGGGACUGCUACAAGAUAUCCAUUUAAUGGAUGAAUCCAACAACUUGGUAGCUGUUAUCGGUGCCCCCAAGACUUGUGGCUACAGUUUGAAGGGAAAUGGCAAAAACAUCUUGACUGCUCCUUACAAGGCCUGUCAUGUCAAGAUCCUGAACAACUUCUAUAUCCUGAGAGUCCUCUACACAACUUUUACUG